rnacentral:rRNA from 1 species
CGCGGCCUAUCAGCUUGUUGGUGGGGUAAUGGCCUACCGAGGCGACGACGGGUAGCCGGCCUGAGAGGGCGACCGGCCACACUGGGACUGAGACACGGCCCAGACUCCUACGGGAGGCAGCAGUGGGGAAUAUUGCACAAUGGGCGAAAGCCUGAUGCAGCGACGCCGCGUGAGGGACGACGGCCUUCGGGUUGUAAACCUCUUUCAGUAGGGAACAAGGCAUCAUUUUUGUGGUGUUGAGGGUACUUGCAGAAGAAGCACCGGCUAACUACGUGCCAGCAGCCGCGGUAAUACGUAGGGUGCAAGCGUUAUCCGGAAUUAUUGGGCGUAAAGAGCUCGUAGGCGGUUUGUCGCGUCUGUCGUGAAAGUCCGGGGCUCAACUCCGGAUCUGCGGUGGGUACGGGCAGACUAGAGUGAUGUAGGGGAGACUGGAAUUCCUGGUGUAGCGGUGGAAUGCGCAGAUAUCAGGAGGAACACCGAUGGCGAAGGCAGGUCUCUGGGCAUUAACUGACGCUGAGGAGCGAAAGCAUGGGGAGCGAACAGGAUUAGAUACCCUGGUAGUCCAUGCCGUAAACGUUGGGCACUAGGUGUGGGGGACAUUCCACGUUUUCCGCGCCGUAGCUAACGCAUUAAGUGCCCCGCCUGGGGAGUACGG